GAUGAACGCUGGCGGCGUGCCUAAUACAUGCAAGCCGAGCGAACGGACGAGAAGCUUGCUUCUCUGAUGUUAGCGGCGGACGGGUGAGUAACACGUGGAUAACCUACCUAUAAGACUGGGAUAACUUCGGGAAACCGUAGCUAAUCCCGGAUAAUAUUUUGAACCGCAUGGUUCAAAAGUGAAAGACGGUCUUGCUGUCACUUAUAGAUGGAUCCGCGCUGCAUUAGCUAGUUGGUAAGGUAACGGCUUACCAAGGCAACGAUGCAUAGCCGACCUGAGAGGGUGAUCGGCCACACUGGAACUGAGACACGGUCCAGACUCCUACGGGAGGCAGCAGUAGGGAAUCUUCCGCAAUGGGCGAAAGCCUGACGGAGCAACGCCGCGUGAGUGAUGAAGGUCUUCGGAUCGUAAAACUCUGUUAUUAGGGAAGAACAUAUGUGUAAGUAACUGUGCACAUCUUGACGGUACCUAAUCAGAAAGCCACGGCUAACUACGUG
rnacentral:rRNA from 1 species